rnacentral:rRNA from 1 species
CCUACGGGAGACAGCAGUGGGGAAUCUUCCUCAAUGGGCGAAAGCCUGACGGAGCAACGCCGCGUGAUCGCAUGAAGGCCUUCGGGUUGUAAAGAUCUGUUGACAGGGACGAAUAAGCGAUGCGAAUCGUUUUAUGUAUGACGGUACCUGUUUAAAAAGCUCCGGCUAUCUGCGUGCUAGCAGCGGCGGUAAUACGUAGGGAGCAAGCAUUGUCCGGAAUUAGUGGGCGUAAAGGGCGCGUAGGUGGGCGCGUAAGUCAGUUGUGAAAACUCCGGGCUCAACCUUGCGACUGCACUUGAAACUGAGUGUCGUGAGGGUAGGAGAGGAAAGUGGAAUUCCUGGUGUAGCGGUGAAAUGCGUAGAUAUUAGGAGGAACACUAGUGGCGAAGGCGACUUUCUGGACUGUACCUGACGCUGAGGCGCGAAAGCGUGGGUAGCGAACGGGAUUAGAUACCCUUGUAGUC